rnacentral:rRNA from 1 species
GAUUGAACGCUGGCGGUAUGCUUAACACAUGCAAGUCGAACGGAAACGAUACUAGCUUGCUAGUAGGCGUCGAGUGGCGGACGGGUGAGUAACGCGUAGGAAUCUGCCUGAUAGUGGGGGAUAGCCCGAAGAAAUUCGGAUUAAUACCGCAUAAUCUAUUCGUAGUAAAGUGGGGGACUUUCGAGCCUCACGCUAUCAGAUGAGCCUGCGUAAGAUUAGCUUGUUGGUAGGGUAAAAGCCUACCAAGGCGACGAUCUUUAGCUGGUCUGAGAGGAUGAUCAGCCACAUCGGGACUGAGACACGGCCCGAACUCCUACGGGAGGCAGCAGUGGGGAAUAUUGGACAAUGGGGGCAACCCUGAUCCAGCAAUACCGCGUGUGUGAAGAAGGCCUGAGGGUUGUAAAGCACUUUCAAUUGUGAAGAAAAGUUAACGGUUAAUAACCGUUAGCCUUGACGUUAACUUUAGAAGAAGCACCGGCUAACUCCGUGCCAGCAGCCGCGGUAAUACGGAGGGUGCAAGCGUUAAUCGGAAUUACUGGGCGUAAAGCGUGCGUAGGCGGUUUAUUAAGUCAGAUGUGAAAGCCCCGGGCUUAACCUGGGAACUGCAUUUGAAACUGGUCAACUAGAGUAUGGUAGAGGAAAGUGGAAUUUCUGGUGUAGCGGUGAAAUGCGUAGAUAUCAGAAGGAACAUCAAUGGCGAAGGCAGCUUUCUGGACCAAUACUGACGCUGAGGUACGAAAGCGUGGGUAGCAAACAGGAUUAGAUACCCUGGUAGUCCACGCCGUAAACGAUGAUAACUAGCCGUUGGGGGGAUUUACCCUUUAGUGGCGAAGCUAACGCGUUAAGUUAUCCGCCUGGGGAGUACGGCCGCAAGGUUAAAACUCAAAGGAAUUGACGGGGACCCGCACAAGCGGUGGAGCAUGUGGUUUAAUUCGAUGCAACGCGAAGAACCUUACCUGGUCUUGACAUCCUGCGAACUUUCUAGAAAUAGAUUGGUGCCUUCGGGAACGCAGUGACAGGUGCUGCAUGGCUGUCGUCAGCUCGUGUCGUGAGAUGUUGGGUUAAGUCCCGUAACGAGCGCAACCCCUAUCCUUAUUUGCCAGCACAUCAUGGUGGGAACUAUAAGGAGACUGCCGGUGAUAAACCGGAGGAAGGCGGGGACGACGUCAAGUCAUCAUGGCCCUUACGACCAGGGCUACACACGUGCUACAAUGGGAAGGACAAAGAGCCGCGAAGCCGCGAGGUGUAGCUAAUCUCAGAAAUCUUUUCGUAGUCCGGAUUGGAGUCUGCAACUCGACUCCAUGAAGUCGGAAUCGCUAGUAAUCGUAGAUCAGAAUGCUACGGUGAAUACGUUCCCGGGUCUUGUACUCACCGCCCGUCAAGGGCGA